rnacentral:rRNA from 1 species
CCUACGGGCGGCUGCAGUGGGGAAUAUUGCACAAUGGGCGCAAGCCUGAUGCAGCCAUGCCGCGUGUGUGAAGAAGGCCUUCGGGUUGUAAAGCACUUUCAGCGGGGAGGAAGGCGGUGAGGUUAAUAACCUCAUCGAUUGACGUUACCCGCAGAAGAAGCACCGGCUAACUCCGUGCCAGCAGCCGCGGUAAUACGGAGGGUGCAAGCGUUAAUCGGAAUUACUGGGCGUAAAGCGCACGCAGGCGGUCUGUGCAAGUCGGAUGUGAAAUCCCCGGGCUCAACCUGGGAACUGCAUUCGAAACUGGCAGGCUAGAGUCGUGUAGAGGGGGGUAGAAGUCCAGGUGUAGCGGUGAAAUGCGUAGAGAUCUGGAGGAAUACCGGUGGCGAAGGCGGCCCCCUGGACAAAGACUGACGCUCAGGUGCGAAAGCGUGGGGAGCAAACAGGAUUAGAUACCCCGGUAGGC